rnacentral:rRNA from 1 species
UACGGAGGGUGCGAGCGUUGUUCGGAAUUAUUGGGCGUAAAGAGCGCGUAGGCGGGCUCAUAAGUCUGAUGUGAAAUCCCUCGGCUCAACCGAGGACGUGCAUUGGAAACUGUGAGUCUUGAGUCCUGGAGAGGAAGGCGGAAUUCCCAGUGUAGAGGUGAAAUUCGUAGAUAUUGGGAGGAACACCAGCGGCGAAGGCGGCCUUCUGGACAGUGACUGACGCUGAGGCGCGAAAGCGUGGGUAGCAAACAGG